rnacentral:rRNA from 1 species
CCGCGUGCAGGAUGACAGCCCUAUGGGUUGUAAACUGCUUUUAUACAGGAAGAAAAAUCCCUACGUGUAGGGACCUGCCGGUACUGUAUGAAUAAGCAUCGGCUAACUCCGUGCCAGCAGCCGCGGUAAUA